rnacentral:lncRNA from 1 species
CGCUUCUUCUAGGGGCCGGGGUGAGCGGGAGUCGCCAGCUCCCGCAGGACGGCGGCGGCGGCGUGGGCCGGGGACAACCGGGUCGGGCAUCUCACAGGUCGCACGCGUGCGCCCCUGGAAGAGGCAGGAACCGCACCCGAGCCCCCACGUCGUGGUGGGAGGGGGCGCGGACAGAAAGGAAAGGAAGAGACUGUGGAAGCCAGGUAUGGCCAAGACAGCUUCAGACCUGAGAAACGCCCGAACUUUCCAGCUGGGGAAGCGGCAGGCGGCUCCUUCCACUCCCAGGCCUGGGAGUCCGGGAGAGGGGCUGGGUUGGGUUGGGGUGUGGGGGGAGCAAGAAGACCUAGCGGCCAGACGGAGGUUCCGAGGCUGCCAAGUGGUUGCAGUCUCCAGGCCUGGCUGCAUGGCGAGGCGUCUGAACACGCAGGGGAUGCCAAGCCUUCCAGAUGAAGAGUGGAUCACAGUGCCAACCAUGUGGACGUGGAUCUCCCCCAGAUGGGCUUCAGCACAUCUGGCCCAUCUGUAGCAUUUUCUCCAUCCAGCGACCUGCGACCAACAUGAAGCCAGAUCUGUGCAGCAUACUUCUCGGCCCCUGCCCUGAACCCCCCUCCAGGGCUCCCCGCAAAACAACGUGGGCUACAAGAAUAUUUCACACCAAACUCACUUCAUAC